GAAUUGCGAUAAGUAAUGUGAAUUGCAGAAUUGUGAAUCAUCGAAUCUUUGAACGCACAUUGCGCCUUUUGGCAUUCCAAAAGGCACACUUGUUUGAGCGUCAUUACACUCUUAAACCGUAAGGUUUAGUCUUGGGCUUUUCUUUGAAAUGCCUGAAAUAUAGUUGCACAAGAGCAAGAACUGAGCAAACGUUAUAGGUUUUACCAAUUCGUUUACAAAAUUCUUGAACGCUUGGGCGUUAUAACCACACAUUAAAAAUUUGACCUCAAAUCAAGUGAGACUACCCGCUGAACUUAA
rnacentral:misc_RNA from 1 species